rnacentral:ncRNA from 1 species
GGGAGCCGUAUGAGCUGAGAGGUUCACGUACGGUUCUGAGAGAGGCUAAGGGGGAAGUUCCCUUGGUCUACUUACUAAG